CACACUGGGACUGAGACACGGCCCCAGACUCCUACGGGAGGCAGCAGUGGGGAAUUUUGGACAAUGGGCGAAAGCCUGAUCCAGCAAUGCCGCGUGUGUGAAGAAGGCCUUCGGGUUGUAAAGCACUUUUGUCCGGAAAGAAAACCUCCGCCCUAAUAUGGUGGGGGGAUGACGGUACCGGAAGAAUAAGCACCGGCUAACUACGUGCCAGCAGCCGCGGUAAUACGUAGGGUGCAAGCGUUAAUCGGAAUUACUGGGCGUAAAGCGUGCGCAGGCGGUCCGCUAAGACAGAUGUGAAAUCCCCGGGCUUAACCUGGGAACUGCAUUUGUGACUGGCGGGCUAGAGUAUGGCAGAGGGGGGUAGAAUUCCACGUGUAGCAGUGAAAUGCGUAGAGAUGUGGAGGAAUACCGAUGGCGAAGGCAGCCCCCUGGGCCAAUACUGACGCUCAUGCACGAAAGCGUGGGGAGCAAACAGGAUUAGAUACCCUGGUAGUCCACGCCCUAAACGAUGUCAACUAGUUGUUGGGGAUUCAUUUCCUUAGUAACGUAGCUAACGCGUGAAGUUGACCGCCUGGGGAGUACGGUCGCAAGAUUAAAACUCAAAGGAAUUGACGGGGACCCGCACAAGCGGUGGAUGAUGUGGAUUAAUUCGAUGCAACGCGAAAAACCUUACCUACCCUUGACAUGUAUGGAACCCUGCUGAGAGGUGGGGGUGCCCGAAAGGGAGCCAU
rnacentral:rRNA from 1 species